rnacentral:rRNA from 1 species
UACGUAGGGGGCAAGCGUUAUCCGGAAUCACUGGGCGUAAAGGGUGCGUAGGCGGCCUUUCAAGUCAGAGGUGAAAGGCUACGGCUCAACCGUAGUAAGCCUUUGAAACUGUAGGGCUUGAGUGCAGGAGAGGAAAGUGGAAUUCCUAGUGUAGCGGUGAAAUGCGUAGAUAUUAGGAGGAACACCAGUGGCGAAGGCGACUUUCUGGACUGUAACUGACGCUGAGGCACGAAAGUGUGGGGAGCAAACAGG